GGUAGCAGGGCCAGCAUCAGCUGUACGGCUCGGCCCAGCACGCGCGGGCUGUAUGCAGCGUGACGCAGGAAUAAAAUACUGCGGCGUUUUUUUGGACUGAAUGGAAAGCUGAUUUUGAAACAAGUCUUGGACAUAAGUUCCAUCAUGACUGUCUCUCAAACUGGACUGACAAAGCAGCUGGAUCCAGAGUGAAUACCGAUAUAACUCAUCCCUGGCCAGAUCAUGCCUGCACAUGGGAGACUGUAGGCCACAAAGGAUACUCUUCUUAACACUUUGCUGAGGUUGGAUGUGAUGAAGUCAGUGGUGCCAGGUAAUGUACUGCUUCUCCUGCCAAUAGUCUGUUCCCUCCUGGGAGUCUAGGCUCGAGCCCACUCAUAGGCUGGAAACUGAUGUCAGUCUGGUCUAUUUACAGUAUUAAGUUUAAUCAAGAAGAAUAUACAUAUGCUGCUUUCAUAGCUGAAAGUAGGCAGGACCAGCCCAGUAGUUGAGCGGGAUUGGCAAAUGGACACUCAAAGAAGAGUAAUUUAACCAUAAUGCUUCAACUAAAACUGAACAUGCAGCAAAAGGUAUUUACAAAACCAAUUUCUCUUUUUUUGCCAUAUUGGCAGCAAUUUUUUGGUAAAUCCAAUGGUGGGCAAUACUAAAAUUACAGUAGUGACCUAAAGCAUAUGUAGUUAAACAGGCCCAAACCACAUAGAAAUGUGGAGUGUUUCCAAGUCAACAGACACUCAAGCUUUUUUUAGUAUUUUCUCACAGAUUUAAUCAGACAUCACACAUGAAGUAUUAUUGUAACAGAAAUGUAUAGUGAAAAUUCAGAAAAAUUCUUCAAAGAUACCAGAAGAUGCGAAAAUAACAACAUUCACAGUAAGGUAAAACUGUUUUUAUGCAUUUAGAUCUUGUAUUCAAACUUAUGUUACGCACUGUUUCUUCUGCAGUGAUUAAAAAAUGAGUGAAUUACAGUGGCCAAAACACUGUACCACUAAAAUUCUUACACUAAUUAGACAAUGUAGACUAGCAUAUAAAAAUG